rnacentral:misc_RNA from 1 species
GAUGAAGAACGCAGCGAAAUGCGAUAGGUAAUGUGAAUUGCAGAAUUCAGUGAAUCAUCGAAUCUUUGAACGCACAUUGCGCCCUUUGGUAUUCCUUAGGGCAUGCCUGUUCGAGCGUCAUUGCUGCCCUCAAGCACGGCUUGUGUGUUGGGCCUCCGUCCUCCUCCCGGGGGACGGGCCCGAAAGGCAGCGGCGGCACCGCGUCCGGUCCUCGAGCGUAUGGGGCUUCGUCACCCGCUCUUGUAGGCCCGGUCGGCGCUUGCCGACACAUCAAUCUUUUUUCCAGGUUGACCUCGGAUCAGGUAGGGAUACCCGCUGAACUUAAGCAUAUCAAUAAGCGGAGGA